rnacentral:lncRNA from 1 species
CAAAACUCGAUCGUAGCAAAAUAGUUCAUACAAGGAUAGGUACAUGUAGUUGAUACAUGCAUAGGUGAUCAGGAAAAGGUACAUCUAGUUGGUACAUGCAUAGGUGAUCUACAACACGUAGUGAUAGUGGAUACUGAAUGCAGAAUUGUGAAGCUCUUGUUCUCUUCCUAGACCUGAGAUGUUGAUCCUCCAGCUGGGUGUGUCUCUACAAUGUAGUGGUAGAUAGAUGAAGCUGGUUCUUUUGCUCUUAUUCAGGUGGUUUGUUUGAUGCCUAGACAAUGUUGAAGUUGCUACUGGAUGCACGUCCUGGCUCUCGACGGUUUGGCAAAUUAUCUUGAAAUGGGAGAUAAAUUUUUUGAGGAUCCUUGAUCGUAUCACAUCCAUUUAUCUAACAAAUAAUUAAGGACAGAGGAAGUAUAAAAUUUUCUCAAAUGGUUGCCACAUCCUAGAAGCAAGUUGCACCAGAAAAUGCAUAUGCAUCAGUAUUCCAUACCGAUUAGUUCCCCUCCAGAAUGCUCUAGAUUAUCUCUAUGUAAUAAAUAUUGCAAAGAAAAAUCAAAGUACCACAAUGUACUCCCUCUGUAAAGUAAUAGUACUCUGCUUUCCAAAUCACUAAGUAGUGAUCGGUUCCGCUCCACUAUUGUGUUGUUGACUAACUCCUGAACAUUGUCUUGAGCGCAUCAUGAUUGUGGUCGUUGAUGACUAUACCGUGAUAUGUGCAAACUUGAUGAAGAGUAGCUUGAGCAACCUUUUUCUUCUGAAAGCUAUUGAUCACAAAAUUUGUAAUGCCAAUUUAACUUCAGAAAGAACAUGGCAACAUGGAACCUUCUCUGAAAAGCAGAAGUUGACGUGCUUGAUUACUAAGAGAGAACCCAUAGAUCUCAUGCCAACAGCAAUAAGCAUUUAAGCUACUUAUAACUUGAUUUUCCAUGAGAAAAUAACAUAUGUUUAAUCAUAUUUAAAAUAUUCAGUCAUGAAAGCAUAGAAGCAUCAGAAUUUUCCACUGAAGACACCAUGUCAGUGCACCAAAAAAUAGGUCAAGGGAAGUGAAAGGAAAAAGGAUCAAGUAAAUAAACUUGGAAGGAGAUCUACAGGAAGUAAUUAUUCUCUUGUACGUAUCAAGUUAUUUUUAAGAAAGGAUAAGAAGGGCAUAUAUAGGGGAUAUGUAUUUUGUUUUCUAGAAUACGGAGUAUGCAUAUCAUUCAUUAAAGAAGAAGAGGGGGGAAAAGAACCCCAGCGAACAACUCUUCCAUGUUUUACAACUAACAUAAUUAGAGUUGAAUUAACUGAACCGAUACAAAUAGGGGAGUAUGUACAGCAAAAUUGCACACUUCCACGUUUUACUGAUACAGCCAAUAGAGCUAAAUUAACUGAACUGAAUCUGUUCCUUGUAUGAGCAAAAAUACUAAGCUUUUAACUGUAUGACACAGCCAGUCAAAUGAUGCAUAUAACUGUUGCAUGCUAUGUGGGAGCGGGAAAAAACACUUCUUGAAGGUAAUUUAAGCAUCCAACAAUUGGUGGAAAAACUGAAUUACUACAGUCAGAAUCCAUAUAUCAAAACAAAGUAAAAGAAAAUGAAAUAGAAAACGCUCCACACAAAAUAUAGAUAUGUACGAACUGCUAGGAUAGAAAUAAAUUAAGGAAUCCCUUGGAGAGGGAAUUAUUUACACAUGAAAGAAGUGAGCUAUCAUACCGGAAAUUCGGAUGCAUGACUAAACAUCCGGAAUAAAAAUAAGGUAAGCUGCUAGAUCUUGCCUGUUGGUAAAUGCCUGGCCAUAUUUUUCUUACAAAAAGCUUUUAAAAUUUAGAUUAGAUAGAACAAAUAAAGCAUUGUUUACCCUUCGCAUAACUUACCCUUUGCACAAAUACUCCAGCAAAGCUUCAUGUUAAUGCAUAUAUUUUUGUAAGUUAAUCAAAUAUGGACCACGAUCUCCUAGAGAACCAAAGACCAAUUACGUGGUAGAGUAAUGUCUAAACAGAGGAAGCAUGAUGUUAGUUGUCCAUGUGCCUGAUAGGACUUGCACCUUUUUUUUGAAAAAAAAAAAUCAACUUACACCUGCACGCCAAGAGUUCAUGCUUACACAAAAUAAUCAGAAGAGUUCAGGUUCAUUAAAACUUCAAUAUAGAAUAACAUAUCGUCGAGGUGUUAUACACACGUGUUGAAUGCAAGGAAUAAUACGCCACUAACUGGACCAUAUUCAGGCUCCGUUCGGUUCAUAGGAUUUUUGCAGGAAUCAUGAAGGAAUACUGUUCAUGAAGGUUUAUUUUCCUUUGUGGUGUUCGAAACGCAGGAAUGACCUACAGUGAUCCAAAGGAAACCUGUCCUUUCGAUGCCGAUUCCAUAGGAAUUGAAAAAUCUGCCCGGAGCUCAUGUUUUUCGCGGAAGACCGAGACGAGGUGCUCUGAUCAUGGCAGUCAGCAUGCAGAGCUAAUUAAAAUGAGCUGAUGUGUGACGUGAUGGGGUGAGAGAUAGAGACAAAGCUGCCUUGUGGCCAAUUUAAAAACCCUUAAGGCUGCUGUGAUCCGAACAGUCUACUUUCUCUUAUUCCUGUGUUCCUAGACCCUGUAGGUUCUAUGGUAGCCUUCAGUCCUAUUCCUUUGAAGUAUUUUUAACCUUCGUUUUCUCUCCCUGCAUAACGAACGCAGCCUCAAUGUUAAAUACUUCGCAGAAUCUAUAUUGAUGGAUUAGUGUUGCUACUUCUCACUGAAAGUAUUGCUGAGGGAAAAAGUACAGCUCAAAGCCUGAUCUGGACUAUAUCAUCACACAUAGGAACGUUGAGGAGAAGAUCUUAUGGAAGCAAUCAAUUAAACAGUUCAAGUAUGUGAAACUUGACACCAAUGUCCCUAGGUCAUGAGAUAAGGCACAGUAUAAUACCAUAAGGAAGUAGAAGUAACAUGAUAAUUUGUAAUUCUAUGAAAUAAACAUUCCAGUAAAAAACUACAAUUACGGAUUGCUAAAUUUGCAUGUGAUAUUUCUCCACAUUAAAGUAAUACCAUGGACAAUCUUACAAUCUCCCCUACUUUGUUUCUACAUUUAUCUUUGAAGGGCAGCCCAUAUGAAUCUGAGAAAAGAUAUACCUUUUAUGACUGCUAAACAUCGUCACCAUAAUAUUUCAAUAGUAAUAAGUGCUCUUUCGUAUGACCGGUCUUUCUAAGGCAUUCUCUUUUCGUACAUCACGAACUCAUCAAUCUGAAACAAAAGACAAAUAGACAAUAGUCAAGUGAUAUUAAUUUGCAAAUAAGAAAGAGAUCAUCCAAUUACAUAAAAAAAUCAUAAAAGAUAUUCAAGUACACGCCAUAAGCAUAUUGGCAUCAUAAUUGCUAAAACCAGGAACAAAGUGAACACUUGUAAAAAGGCAUUCAUGCACUGAACUAAUUGCUCCAGCCACGUCCACAAAAUAGUGCAUCCAUGGAACAGAAAACGUGUAAAUAUUUCAUCCCUAGUGUUGAGCUAAUGCCAUGUUAGUUGCAUACUGAAAAAAGCACAUAUCUUUUUUAUGUUGGCUUAGUUUGGUCAAUUCAGUCGACCUGAACACCGAUACCGGAAAAGGUGAAUGCUACAGCUGGACCGGGGCGGAUAUACUACAGGCAGACACGCGAAUGCAUCAGCUAGCACACACAUGACACAGCUGCAGCAGGAGCACAGAAGCCGCACAUGCACGCGACAUAUCACAUGGCCAAGAGAGUGCGAGGGGCAGCCGGCGUGCACUCACCGCAAAGGGGAGCAACAGCGAGAUUGGGCACCUCCUCAUGUUGGCCUCCGUGGCGGAGUGUUGGCCAUCACCUGGCUCGAGCCCCUCCUCUACGCGGAGCUCGAUCAGAAGGGAGCAAGAGGAGUGGAGAAAAAAAAAGGAAUCUGCUCCAUGAAUGCCUGCUCUGUUCGCUGCUCUCGUGGAGGCGUGCACUUGCGAUUGGGAGAGGUGACAAGGAAGGCAAGGAGAAGAACAAAAAGAAGGCGGCCGGCCCGGACGGCAACCACCACUUAGAUUCAGGCCACCGCCGGCCAUAAACCGCAAGAAAAAAAGGACACCCAGCUGCUCACCUGACGCCGGAAAAGAUCGAGCCUUCUUCAAGAUGGAGACGGUAUGGUCCAGGCAGGGAUCGACGGGGAGGAAGUAGCCAGAUAAAUCGUCGGCAGGGCGCUGCCCUCCUCCCCGUAGCCUGCUGGCGCCGCUUUUUUUCCGCAACCCUGGAGACCCGUAGAGGAGAGGUGGUUCGAGAAGCGAGGGUUUCAUUUGAUCGGG